UUAGAAUGUAACAGUUUAAAUAGUUUUUUAGAAUGUAUCAGUUUAAAUGGUUAUGUUUCAUUGCAUAUUCAUAAUUAAUUUUCCACCUUCAUUGUGUUCCAAACAGCUUGGACAUACAAAAGAUCUUUUUUCAAGAAAGUCCUACAGGCUUUAAACACAACGCAAGCUAUCCUAGGCUUUUUUUGGGUUCAACCAAAAGAGAAUAAAUGAGAGAUGUCAACUGCAAGGACAAAGUUACAUCAACACUUUUAGUCAAUGAAAUAAAGUUUUCCCCUUUCCUUUGAAUGUAGCAGAUAUCAAAAGACAGUGACUCAGUGGCUUCUUCAAUAAAUUUCCAAUUAUAAUGAAGGGACUGAUGUGGCGGAUGACUGAAGGCAUCAGUUCAUCUUUAUUACCGUCGGUUAAUGAGAAUCAAUCUCACUCUCGUCUCAUUUGAACUCUCUCAGGGUCACAGAUUAUGAAUUAGGAUUCUCGUAAUGAACUGUCUUAAUGUGACCGUCUGUGAGACGAUCGCGAGCUUUUUUUUUUAGCAGAAGGUGAAAGUCUUGCCGCGAGUUAAAAGUUUGAGGGCAGCGGGCUGUGAGCGAUAUGAGACGAAAUACGACGGGAGAGCGAUAAACGGACAGAUUGAUUGCGUUGAAGCGUGAAGGACAAGCGCGGCGUCUGCCUCGUCCUUAUAAAUCCCGUCUCUGGAGUAAAACGCAUCUGAGGUUCAAAGACGAACUCCGCCGGAUCGCUCUUUAUUCAAGGUAAACCGGCGCUUAAAAGCACAGCGUUGCUUCACAGGUGUUUGUCGCCAAACUCGACGCACGCUUCCGUUUCGAGGAGAAACGCUUCUUACCUACUGAGUUUAAAAGUUGGCUUUAUUAAGAGAGCGUCACGAGUUUAGUCUGUUGAACUAGCCUACAUGAUUAGCACGGGUGCGUCGCGGCUAGCUAGCAUGCGCGGUAAACGCUAAACAUGGCCGCCUCGUUUUAAUCCGUAUGCUGGUUUCAAAGUUAAACCGUCUUUCCCAUUUAGCCUGUUCAUCUAAACGUUAGCGUAGCUGUUAUUGAGAAAAUGUUAGCUUAUCGCUUAUUCGUAGUUUCUUCGACGGUGUCGUUGAAAUGUGGUUCAAAUCGAGAGACGCAUUGGCUUUACUAAAAGAUUGCGUGUCUAGUAAUUGUAAAAUGUGUUUUUUUACUGCAGUGCUGUACAAAGCAAGUCACCGUUGAAGAAAUACACCAAUGUUUGGGAACUGUAAUGCUCCCUGUGCCGGUCAUUUCUGGUUAAAACCACUAAAUCAUAAUUGGAUUUGGCCCAAAACACACUACAGGUAAUCGUUUUAACGCCUGCAUCUGUGGAGGAAACCAUUCAAACCUCUCAGCAGGUUUCUUCACGAGGAGCAUCACGGGGUUAAAGCUGAAAAUUUGGGCCCGCACGCGCUAUUAUUUGGGAAUAAUCCGCUGGAUUCGUUUUGCUGAGCUCUGCAAACCAAAGCGCUGAGUCUCUGCCGUCGCCGCCCCGUCCCCGAUCAGAUUUUAAUCAACAAAAAACUUUGGUUUGGACGGCUCUCCCGCAAACAUCCCGUCACGGCGGCGCUCCGCAUACGUCUCGCCAACGGCCCGUUACAUCGGAAUGAAUUUCUCCGUGAAGAAGAAGACGAGAAAAAUCGAUGCCCUCUUGCUAUUCUCUCCGUCAUUUGUAAAGAGAUUGUUAAAAUGAGACAUUGAUCUGGUCGCGAUCUCUUCAUCGGGGACAUUAGCCUGAGGUCGUGACCUCCAGGUAUCUAACCAGCGAUAGUAAAUGUUAAUACGCGCACGGAUUGGUUUUUAACCCAUCUUAGCUGUGAUCUCUGAAAAGUUUACGCGGCAGGCGAGUACCGCGGUGAUUUACGAGAUCUAGAUACAUUUCGGCUGACGUUAAAUUAGUGUCAUGAAUCUCAGAGGAAGACCGCAUUCACAGAAAUGAAUCGCACCGCCUCGGUUCUGCCUAAAAAUAUCUCCGGAUGUAAAUUUUGACGUGUCCUUGAGCAAGAAAUGCCAGGGGUGACGGGGGUAAAAAAUAUAAUUUCCAAGCCAUUGAUUUCCAUUGGUCAAGAAUCUCUUACCCUAUAGUGCCACUGUGUGGUUGAACGUACAGUUUAAUGUUACAUCUGUGCAUAUUUUGAUAUAGUUUAAUCACACUUAAAUAUGCUCUAGUGAUAGAUUCAGUGUCUGUAUCUGCAUGCCUCUAAUACAUAUUUUGUUGUUUUAUUUAUUUUAUAUAUUGGUUGAUAAUUUGACUUGCUUUUUGUUUUGUUAUUUAUUUAUUUUGGUCAGCGUCUUUGCUUUUUUUUUAGUGUUUUCUGGUCAUUGUAUUUUCCGCCUAUUUAACAUUCGAUGCUUUUAUUAUUUCAUUUUGAAAUAUUCUAUAUAAUCUCUCGUUUUCAUUCUGUCGAAUAUAAAUCACCUGCUUACGAAGUUUCUUCGCGCAUCUCUAAGCAAACCACUCCUGUUUCCAUAUUUUGCAUUUAACGAACGAUUGCAAUGCAUUUUGGGCCUUUUUCUCAUUAGCUUUGUUCGUUUGGUUUAUCAUCUCUAAUAAUAAACGCAAUACGUCCGAAAGGCUUGUAAAGGCCGAGUUGCUGAUUUGGGAUUUAUUCUCAUCACACUUGGCACAAAGAAGCGUUGUGCAUGAGCUGGUCACCAUGGAAACGGGCCGGUGCAGUUGUGGAGCGCAGGGAGAUAAAGCUCUCUCAAGAGCUCAUUAAAGCCUGAAGCGGAGAUGUCCAAGAUCAGCUGGACGGUGCCUUCUGUAUUUAUAGCCGUUUAAAAGUAGCCAUAUAUUUUUACUUCUUUUUUUUUUUGCAAGCAAUGCAUUGCUUGUAAAUAUUUAAUUACAGAUUUUUUUGAUUUUUAUAUCUCACACGAGCAGUUUCCAUUUUUAUUGCUGUCGGACGAUUAAUCCCAUCCAAAAUAAAAGUUUUUGUUUGCAUAUGCGUAUAUUUAGAGUGUAUAAAUACUUAAAAAUAAUUAAGAAAAAUAAAUGAUGCUUGUAUAUUAAAUGUAUUUAUAUAAAAGACGUAAUAACGUAAACGUUUUAAGAAUAUAUGGACUGCAAGUAUUUUUAUAUAUACACACAUUUAACCCUUAUUUUGAAUUAUUGAACUAUUCGACAGCGCUAUUUAUAUUUAUGCAUACAGCAAUAUGCAGUAAUUCAUAUUUGAAUGUACGCGUAAAUUUUUUCUAAUUUAUAAUUUUGAGAGUAUGACAGAAUCAUUGAUGUGGUGGUAUUAUCAUUUGCUUUUUAAUUUUUAUUAUUUAUAUAUUUUAUAGUAUACUUCUUUUUAUUGCAUUUAAUUUCACAGAACAAGGGCUAAGCACUGCACGUCGACUCACGACAUGGGCUCGAACUCAACAUCAGGUUCAGGUGAACCUGAAACUGUCAUACGCAUUUAUCCAAUUUCACAGCGCAGAUGAAUGAAUCCAUUUCUGACAGACACCGACAACGCAACACAUGGUCUCUUGAUGAUUUGGACCCGUUCUUUAACCAGCAUGACCCGUGUGACUCGACACGUGUAGUGUUUGUAUCCCGGUUACGCUUUCGAAACUUUAACAAUGGCACAACUCCACCAGAAAAAGCAAUUAAUGGUUGGAGAGUUUCAAAUAUUUAAUUACAGACGACUGUUACAAAUGGAAAUGAAUGUCUCCGUGAGUCACAAUAACCAGAGGAACAACAGUUUAAUUUCAGAUUUAACAUCCUUCAGUGAGUCCCGCAGCGCUCAAGGGAAACCGACUGGGUCUCCAAUUAUAUUCCUCUUUUUGGGAGAAAAAAAAAAAAUAAGAACCACACGGGGGAAAGAGAGCAUUGUUCAUUCCGGGAAAGUUUUGCAAAUCCCACGUCUGACGUUAAUAUUUCAACAUGGUUUUUUUUUUUUUAAAUCAAGACUGCGGAUCACAAACCGGUGUGGCGUUUAAUUAAUUGAAUUUAAUUAAUUAAACAUUACGUAUAUUUGCGAGUUCGAAUCCCAAAGGCACAGCGUCUUGGUGGAGUUCAAAAAUUAAUUAAACAAUGGCAGACAAAUAAAUGCAUAAACAUUUUAAUAAUUAAGCGCAGGCUCUUAAAAGUCUUUUUCAGAGUUGUUGAGAAAUAUUCUGAAAUGAUUCUCCGAGCGUGAUUAAUAGCGUCUUGUGCAGAAUGUUAAUUGUUCUGCGACUGAUUUUAGAAUCAAUUGUUUGCGUCACGCGCGUGGGUUUUUAAAUCGGGGUGUAAAUAUAAUAUUUUAAUAAAAACCACUGACGAAAAACUACAGCGAUCCACUGGCUAUUAUUAUCUCAAAUUGCCUCAAGUGUGCAUAAAACAAUUUAUCAAAAUGAACGCAUAUGCAUAAUGCACAAAGAAAAAUUACACACGAGUGUUACAGCCGUAAAGCAAUCUGCCCUUUUUGCAUAAUUUCUGACCUGCUUAAAGUGUCCCUAUUUAUGGGUUAUGGAAGGUUCAUAUUUUGCCCCAACAGGUUGACAUGCAUUGUCUUAUAUAUAUAUAUAUAUAUAUAUAUAUAUAUAUAUAUA